AUGAUUUGUUCAACAGGUGAACCAGGAGAACCCAACACUCUUGAAGAAGCACUUGGAGAUGCUAAUUGGAGAAAGGCAAUGCAUGAUGAAACUGUGGCACUAAGGAAAAAUAAAACAUGGCACUUGGUCCCUUCAAGAAAAGGUAAAAAUCUUAUUGACUGUAAGUGGGUCUUUAGGAUAAAAAGAAAAGCUGAUGGAACCAUUGAUCGUUACAAAGCUAGACUCGUUGCAAAGGGGUUCAAACAAAGGUAUGGUAUUGACUAUGAGGACACAUUUAGUCCGGUUGUUAAAGCUGCUACCAUACGCCUUGUCUUGUCCAUUGCUGUGUCUAGGGGAUGGACUCUACGACAGCUAGAUGUUCAGAACGCGUUCCUCCAUGGUGUUCUGGAAGAAGAGGUUUACAUGAAACAACGUCCUGGGUUUGUAAAUGCACAGGCACCACUUCAUGUGUGCAAACUUGACAAGGCCUUGUAUGGAUUGAAACAGGCUCCAAGAGCAUGGUAUUCUCGCCUCAGUAAAAAGAUGCAAACACUUGGUUUUGUUCCUUCAAAAUCUGACACUUCGUUAUUUAUCUAUAACAAGUCAAGAAUAUCCAUAUUUGUUCUCAUUUAUGUUGAUGAUAUAAUUGUAACAAGUUCAUCUGAUGAAGCAAUAACAGCACUAUUGAAGGAUUUAAGUGCAGAGUUUGCUCUAAAGGAUCUAGGAGAUCUACACUACUUUCUUGGUAUUGAGGUCAAACAACACAAGAAUGGUCUUCACCUCUCUCAAGAAAAGUAUGCAAUAGACUUGGUAAAAAAGGUUGGCUUGCAAAGUUGUAAGUCUGCACCUACUCCUUUGUCUAGCACAGAAAAAUUGUCUCUUGUUGAAGGAGAGCCUCUGAAUUCAGAAAAUAGUACAAAAUACAGGAGCCUGGUAGGUGCACUUCAAUACUUAACAUUGACUAGACCAGAUAUUUCUUUUGCUGUCAAUAAAGUAUGUCAGUUUCUUCAUGCACCUACCACUGUUCACAUGACUGCUGCAAAACGUAUAGUAAGAUAUGUGAAAAACACAUUGAACAUUGGCCUAAACUUCAGCAAGUCAUCCUCUGCACUUGUCAGUGCCUUUUCUGACUCAGACUGUACUGGGUGUUUAGAUGAUAGACGCUCAACUGGUGGUUUUGCGGUAUUCCUCGGACCAAAUUUGAUAUCUUGGAGUGCAAGAAAGCAAGCCACAGUUUCAAGGUCCAGUACAGAGGCAGAAUACAAAGCAUUGGCUAAUGCAACAGCAGAGAUCAUAUGGGUGCAAUCAAUUUUAAAGGAACUAGGUAUAAAAAGCACUAGAGCUCCAUGUCUGUGGUGUGAUAAUUUAGGUGCCACCUAUUUGUCAGCAAAUCCAGUCUUUCAUGCUAGGACCAAGCACAUUGAAAUAGAUUUUCACUUUGUUCGAGAAAGAGUUGCAAAUAAGCUUUUGGAUAUUCGGUUUAUUCAUUCUCAAGACCAAGUUGCUGAUGGCUUUACCAAAGCUUUGCCUACAAGAGGUUUUGAAGACUUCAAG
rnacentral:rRNA from 1 species